rnacentral:lncRNA from 1 species
UGGAACCCAGGAGUUCAAGACCAUCCUGGGUAAGAUAACAGCACCUCAGAGAAGAUUUGGAAAAUAAAUGAGCUGAUGAGAGCAAUUUUCUGCUUCCUGGGCCACCACAGUCUUCUUUGCUGUUUUUGAUUGCAACCAUUUUCAGAGAAGAAUCAACACCAAAGAUUACAUGUAUAUAAAUUACCUAGUAACGAGCAUGACCUCUGUCCAAGCAGAAGGCAAGCAGGGGAGAAGAUUUAGCUGCUCAACUACAGUUAUUCUCUCAACCCAAGCUAAGGUGGUACAAGGAAGAAUGGCAGAUUGGCAGAUUGGGUGGCCAGGAGGCUUCACAGAGACCCCGUUGAGAAUCCAGUAAAACCUAUGGUUCCUCUUUUAAGAAAAAUACAUGGGCACGCACAAAAAAACCUUAGUGUUUGUUUCCCUGGUCUUUGUUUCCACACAUGCCCUGAAGCCCAGCUGUGAUGCAGGUUAAGAAUCUCUACCCUGGAUUCCAAAGUGAUAGGAAGAACAGGAAAUGAUCUAUGGAACUCAGCACUUUUCUUCCAGGGAUUCCUUCAAGGCUCCGUGAUGUGAUGGGAGCUCUGCUGUAAGUAAAGCACUAAUCAGUGAGGAGAGAGAGUAGUUCAUCUUCCAGAAGUUUGCCCUCCACACCCUUCUCCAGUCAUCAGGGAACAAUACCACCAUGCAGGUAGUUCCUCCAGUCAUUACUAGAAAGAAACAACGAAGAGUAGCUUGUUUCAUCUCUUCCCAGACUAGAAGCGAUGGGAACCAUAUGUUUGCAACCUAUAGGGUUUUGUGGCAGCUGUUCACUCACUGCGGUAAC